GAGAUGUACGGAACUAGUAGCAGGAAACCUCCAAAACUGUAGUUAUCAGUAUGGGCCUCAGUGGCUGCUCCGGCCGUCCGUCAAGUCUUGCAGAAGUUGAGUCGUUUCAGCUAGGGCUGCCAAAGGAAGCGCUGGUGAUGGGGCUGCUCACAGUGCUUGGGCGGCACGAGAGAAGAAAGAUGCUGCUGUUUAAAGUUUGCACUGCAGUCUGGAGCCUCGCAGACAGGAAAAGGGCCGGUGGGAUGUCAGCAGCAGCACCGUUGGCCGGGCGCGCGGGCGAGAGGCUCCUCCGCAGCCCGCAGGAGGAGGAGGAAGGACGGCAGCGCCUUCGCGGGAGCAGGGAUGCAGCUUCUGCUGCUCUUCCUGGGUGUCCAGUCCCUGCCCAGCUCAGCGAGCCAAGUUUUCACGUCUAAAAUUACAGCCAUCAAAGCAGUCUUGCAGGUUCAGUGGGAACCUGAGCCCCAGGAUAACCAGCGUGGAAAGCACUGCAUGCUCAGGAGAGGCAUAAAACCGUAUAAACCCCUAUUCUGCAAACUCCAAAAGCUGCUGGAAGAAAAGGCUGCCUUGCCGGCAUUAACCCCGUGGGCAGCUCCCUGCCCGGCAUGCCGAGAGCAGAGCGCGCUGCGUCGGUACGAAACCAGGGCGAGAGGCUGAGCUCAGGCGGGCCAGAGAUUUUAUUGCUCCCAAACCAAGGAGCCUGCUCUGCGGUUUUCAUGAUGGAUCGCUGCCCUUUCGUCUCAUCGUGAUUUGGCUGAAACUCGAGACAGAUGCGUAUCAUCUCUAUGGGCCCGUGGCAUGCCUCAUCUCACUGCUUGACACAAGAACAUACAGCAAGUGCUUCAUGGACAAGAUACAUGUGCUUUGGCUGUAUAAAGUAGUAAUGUUCUUCCUGUAAGAGAAAAAUUUAAUUUUGUCCUGAAUUCCACUAUACCCAAACAGAUCUCCAUUUAUAGCCUGGAUAAUAAAUCAAAGCAACAUGAAGUCUCCUGCA
rnacentral:lncRNA from 1 species